rnacentral:tRNA from 1 species
GUAGUCGUGGCUGAGUGGUUAAGGCGAUGGACUACAAAUCCAUUGGGGUCUCCUGCUGACUAUG